GAUUGAAUCUAAACAUCCUGAAGACACCAGAUCCCAUUUUAUCUUGGAAGUUAUGCAGGGUCAGCCCUAAUUUGUAGUUGGAGAAGAGACAACCAGUGAAUACCAGGUGCUGUACGCU
rnacentral:rRNA from 11 species